GGGGGCGACAUGGCUUCGACGUGGAUCACAAAACCCAAGGUGCAUGCCGAGGUGCAGGAUACCUCGUAAAACCAUCUGCAAACUAUUAGUUGCCAACGACGACAACUACGCUCUAGCUGCUUAAGUCAGCUAGCCUCUGCACAGUCGCCCGCUUAUAGGCUGUUGCUGCGGGGGUAAUCCAAUUGUAAGCUCGCGCUGAAGCUCUUCCGGGGUGGAUGCGCUAAACAACACCGGAAUCGUCGGUCGCCCUCCCUGCCGCUCGGGCGGAGGCCGAUUAAAACCAAAGAGUCGGAUAAGCAUGUAGAGCCAAAGGCGGAGGAUUUGCGGACGCGGGUUCAAUCCCCGCCGCCUCCACCA
rnacentral:tmRNA from 1 species